AAUGAACGCUGGCGGCAGGCCUAACACAUGCAAGUCGAGCGAGGACUUCGGUCUUAGCGGCGGACGGGUGAGUAACGCGUGGUAACGUGCCCUUUGCUUCGGAAUCGUCCUUGGAAUCUGGUAUUAAUACCGGUAGAGCCCUUUGGUGGAAAGAUUUAUCGGCGAAGGAUCGGCCCGCGUUGGAUUAGGUAGUUGGUGGGGUAAUGGCCUACCAAGCCGACGAUCCAUAGCUGGUUUGAGAGGAUGAUCAGCCACACUGGGACUGAGACACGGCCCAGACUCCUACGGGAGGCAGCAGUGGGGAAUCUUAGACAAUGGGGGAAACCCUGAUCGAGCCAUGCCGCGUGAGCGAUGAAGGCCUUAGGGUUGUAAAGCUCUUUCAGCUGGGAAGAUAAUGACGGUACCAGCAGAAGAAGCCCCGGCUAACUCCGUG
rnacentral:rRNA from 1 species